rnacentral:rRNA from 1 species
GAGUUUGAUCCUGGCUCAGGAUGAACGCUAGCGGCAGGCUUAACACAUGCAAGUCGAGGGGUAACAUUGUAGCUUGCUACAGAUGACGACCGGCGCACGGGUGCGUAACGCGUAUAGAACCUACCUUUUACUGGAGAAUAGCCUUUAGAAAUGAAGAUUAAUGCUCCAUAGUAUUGCGACUCGGCAUCGGGUUGUAAUUAAAGAUUUAUUGGUAAAAGAUGGCUAUGCGUCCUAUUAGUUAGAUGGUAAGGUAACGGCUUACCAUGACAUCGAUAGGUAGGGGUCCUGAGAGGGAGAUCCCCCACACUGGUACUGAGACACGGACCAGACUCCUACGGGAGGCAGCAGUGAGGAAUAUUGGGCAAUGGAGGCAACUCUGACCCAGCCAUGCCGCGUGCAGGAAGACGGCCCUAUGGGUUGUAAACUGCUUUUAUACAGGAAGAAACACUCCCUCGUGAGGGAGCUUGACGGUACUGUAAGAAUAAGGACCGGCUAACUCCGUGCCAGCAGCCGCGGUAAUACGGAGGGUGCAAGCGUUAUCCGGAAUCAUUGGGUUUAAAGGGUCCGCAGGCGGUCAAUUAAGUCAGAGGUGAAAUCCCAUAGCUUAACUAUGGAACUGCCUUUGAUACUGGUUGACUUGAGUCAUAUGGAAGUAGAUAGAAUGUGUAGUGUAGCGGUGAAAUGCAUAGAUAUUACACAGAAUACCGAUUGCGAAGGCAGUCUACUACGUAUGUACUGACGCUCAUGGACGAAAGCGUGGGGAGCGAACAGGAUUAGAUACCCUGGUAGUCCACGCCGUAAACGAUGGACACUAGUUGUUGGGAUUAAUCUCAGUGACUAAGCGAAAGUGAUAAGUGUCCCACCUGGGGAGUACGGUCGCAAGAUUGAAACUCAAAGGAAUUGACGGGGGCCCGCACAAGCGGUGGAGCAUGUGGUUUAAUUCGAUGAUACGCGAGGAACCUUACCAGGGCUUAAAUGUGGUCUGACAGCUUUAGAGAUAGAGUUUUCUUCGGACAGAUCACAAGGUGCUGCAUGGUUGUCGUCAGCUCGUGCCGUGAGGUGUCAGGUUAAGUCCUAUAACGAGCGCAACCCCUACCGUUAGUUGCUAACAGGUCAUGCUGAGGACUCUAACGGGACUGCCUACGCAAGUAGAGAGGAAGGUGGGGAUGACGUCAAAUCAUCACGGCCCUUACGUCCUGGGCUACACACGUGCUACAAUGGUAUGGACAAUGAGCAGCCACUAUGCAAAUAGGAGCGAAUCUAUAAACCAUAUCACAGUUCGGAUCGGAGUCUGCAACUCGACUCCGGGAAGCUGGAAUCGCUAGUAAUCGGAUAUCAGCCAUGAUCCGGUGAAUACGUUCCCGGGCCUUGUACACACCGCCCGUC